GACGAACGCUGGCGGCGUGCUUAACACAUGCAAGUCGAACGGAAAGGCCCUGCUUUUGUGGGGUGCUCGAGUGGCGAACGGGUGAGUAACACGUGAGUAACCUGCCCUUGACUUUGGGAUAACUUCAGGAAACUGGGGCUAAUACCGGAUAGGAGCUCCUGCUGCAUGGUGGGGGUUGGAAAGUUUCGGCGGUUGGGGAUGGACUCGCGGCUUAUCAGCUUGUUGGUGGGGUAGUGGCUUACCAAGGCUUUGACGGGUAGCCGGCCUGGGAGGGUGACCGGGCCCAGUGGGACUGAGGAACGGGCCAGACUCCUACGGGGGGCAGGAGUGGGGAAUAGUGCAAGAUGGGCGGAAGCCUGAAGGAGGAACGCCGGGUGGGGGGUGACGGCCGUCGGGGUGGAAACCGGGUGAGACUGGGAAGAAGAGUGAGUGACGGUAAUGGGUAAAGAAGCACCGGCUAACUACGUG
rnacentral:rRNA from 1 species